rnacentral:rRNA from 1 species
CCUACGUGCGGCAGCAGUGGGGAAUAUUGCUCAAUGGGGGCAACCCUGAUGCAGCGACGCCGCGUGCGUGAAGAAGUCAUUCGUUAUGUAAAGCUCUAUCUGCAGGGAAGAAAAUGACGGUACCUGAGUCAGAAGCCCCGUCUCACUACGUGCCAGCAGCCGAGGUAAUACGUAGGGGGCAAGCGUUAUCCGGAUUUACUGGGUGUAAAGGGAGAGUAGACGGGAGUGCAAGUCUGGGGUGAAAGGCGGGGGUUCAACCCCCGGACUGCUUGGGCAACUGUACGGCUGGAGUGCAGGAGAGGGAGGUGGAAUGUCUGGUGUAGCGGUGAAAUGCGGAGAGAUUAGGAAGAACACCAGUGGCGAAGGCGGCUUACUGGACUGUAACUGACGUUGAGGCUCGAAAGCGUGGGGAGCAAACAGGAGUAGAUACCCCAGUAGUC